rnacentral:rRNA from 1 species
GAUGAACGCUGGCGGCGUGCCUAAUACAUGCAAGUCGAGCGAACAGACGAGGAGCUUGCUCCUCUGACGUUAGCGGCGGACGGGUGAGUAACACGUGGAUAACCUACCUAUCAGACUGGGAUAACUUCGGGACACCGGCGCUAAUACCGGAUAACAUGUUGAACCGCAUGGUUCAACAGUGAAAGACGGUCUUUCUGUCACUUAUCGCUGGAUCCGCGCCGCAUUAGCUAGUUGUUACGGUAACGGCUUACCAAGGCAACGAUGCGUAGCCGACCUGAGAGAGUGAUCGGCGACACGGGAGCGGAGACGCGGACCAGACUCCUAAGGGACGCAGCAGUAGGGAAUCUGCGGCAAUGGGCGAAAGCAUUACAGAGCAAGGCCGCGUGAGUGAAGAAGGUGUUCGGAGCGUAAAAACCGGUUAUUAGGGAAGAACAAAUGUGUAAGGAACUAUGCACGGCUUGACGGUACCGAAUCAGAAAGCCACGGCUAACUACGUG